GUGAACACGAAUCGUCAUGUGACAAAUUGACAGGGUUAUUCAAUAAAUUGUAAAUUGGUGUGUCAAAUGUUAGACUGAAAAUAGACUGAAAAUAUAUUGGCGUUGAAUAUUUUUCCUUUUUUUCAGUUCUGCUAUUGUGGCCUAAAACUUUAAAUUCCCUUUUCAAUUUACUCCAAUUAAUGAAAAAUUACAAAUUUAGCCCCAAAUGACUGCUGG